AUUGAACGCUGGCGGCAGGCCUAACACAUGCAAGUCGAACGGUAACAGGAAGCAGCUUGCUGCUUCGCUGACGAGUGGCGGACGGGUGAGUAAUGUCUGGGAAGCUGCCUGAUGGAGGGGGAUAACUACUGGAAACGGUAGCUAAUACCGCAUAAUGUCGCAAGACCAAAGAGGGGGACCUUCGGGCCUCUUGCCAUCGGAUGUGCCCAGAUGGGAUUAGCUUGUUGGUGGGGUAACGGCUCACCAAGGCGACGAUCCCUAGCUGGUCUGAGAGGAUGACCAGCCACACUGGAACUGAGACACGGUCCAGACUCCUACGGGAGGCAGCAGUGGGGAAUAUUGCACAAUGGGCGCAAGCCUGAUGCAGCCAUGCCGCGUGUAUGAAGAAGGUCUUCGGGUUGUAAAGUACUUUCAGCGGGGAGGAAGGGAGUAAAGUUAAUACCUUUGCUCAUUGACGUUACCCGCAGAAGAAGCACCGGCUAACUCCGUG
rnacentral:rRNA from 1 species